AACCACAGAGUCCGGAAGUCUGGAAAAAGGGUCUCCAGGCAGGACUUCUGGCAUUCCUUUCUCCGGCGCCGGGCGUUACACAGGGAGGUGACCAUCCCUGGAAAUGGCCCAGAACUGAGUGCUGAGCUGCUGGCCUCCCAUGAAGACCUUCGUCUCCAGCUCCUGCAUCCACCUGCCUCGACACGUGUGCGCUGGGACCUCUGCGAUGGCCCUUGGGCUUAUCACAGUAAGAGCCCUGGAGGGUCCAGCCUGCGCCAGGCACCCUGGAGAGUGAUCCCUGUAGCCCCCCAGCACUCAGGGUGGGGGAGGCCUCACCUGGAAGAUGUUGACAUGAAGACCACGCAUUUCCAGGGCCUUCCUGCCUUCCACCCACAGUUCAUCAGCCUUGAACAUCAACUCUCAGGGAUCCACGACCACAGAGUGGCAGCCAGUCAAAGCAACUGCGUCCACUUGGCGUGCAAAGCAGUUGCGUGCACAGCCCCCCGUGACUGCAGCCUGCAAGCCUGAGGAUUGGACACACUGCAGGGGUGACUCUUCCCUGGCGUGACCCACUGUGGGAUUCUCUGAAGCUGGCAGUGAGCGGCAGCAGCUCAGACUCCAAGAGCAGUCAUUCUGAAUGUGAAAGAGGCGCUAAGGCGUUUCUUAUGCAAAUAUAUGCAAAUGAACAUGCAGCCGUCAGCCUCUUCCAGUAUUUUAUCCAAGCCAGAAGAUGUUGCUAAUUUUAUUGAAGAUGCUGCCUGCCUGUUUCCAGGAGGACGUGAAGGGUUUCCCAAUGCCAGUCACUGUGAGCCCCAUACAGACAGCAGAACACACUCAGUUGAGUGUUCAGCAUUCUGCACAUUACGCAUGUAACUCAUUAAUCUUAAGCCUGGCAGGGUGUGGGGAGGUUGUUAUUAUUAUUAUUAUUAUUAUCAGUGCUGUUAUUAUUCACAGCUGACAGAAGCAGAAACUGAGAUAGAGGCCACAUGCCCACCCCAGCUCACUCAGCUAAGUAGGUGGCAGAAGUGGGAUUUGAACCCUGGUUCCAUCCAAGAUAAGGCAUAAAACCCCUGGGAUGAGUCACUGCAACAGAGCAUGAACCCAGGCUUAGAGUCCAGGCAGAAGAGACAAAACCGCGAGAAGACAGAUAAGGAACGACACUGUCUUCCCACUGUCUGCAGAGACUCUCUCCCUUGGAAUGAAAUGAAGCCGAAAAGUAGGAUAUGAUGUCACAACAGCAGUUUCAUAACAGACAGGGGAAGAUAGUCAAACCAACACAGUACGGGCCCCUCUCAAGGUAGAGGAUGUGAAGGUAAAUGCUGAUUCAGUGACGGUGUACCUGUGGGGUUCACAAAAACAGGAGAGGUGCUUUGCUCUCAGAUGAUGUAACUCACAAAGGGGUGGGUUUUAUCUCUGGUUUCGUAACCUUGCAAAGGGACAGAACCUGGGGGAGGCUGCAGAAGGUGGGCAGGUAGCCUGUCAGCUAAAGUGAUGUCUCUUCCAGGCCUGCUGGUCUGGAAGGACCUGCUGCUCAAGAGGGCCAGGCAGUUGGUUCAACAAAGGGGCCUCCGCCGGGGUCUGCCAGGACCUCCUCAGAGGCCAGCCUGCCUCUCCCCAAGGCCUGCAAGUGUGUUUUGAAUCUCACGGUUCUGUAACCAGAAGAAGCGACUGUUUUUAACUGCUCCUUCCUCGUACUUCUGCUCUGAGGGCCAAUCCUGUCUGCAUUGCUUCUUUCUUCAAGAAAUGUCAGCUGAAUGCAGCGAUCUGCUCUUCCCUCUGGCCCAAGCUCCACAUCUCCUCGCUGACCGCACUUUGAGUAGCAAGGCCAGAAACAACCUGGGGCCUGAACCCUACCAAGCCUGGUAAGAACUUGACCCUCAGGGGCCUGGUAGGGCCAGGUGCUCAGCCACGUGCCCAGACCUGGGAAUGGGGUCCGGGACGGGGAUGAGCCACCUGUGUGCUCGGACGUAACACAUGAUUUGUGACUCAGCACAGGCUUCCAGAGUCUGUGUGCUUUGCCUUUUUAUAUAACUAAGAAGAGAUCUGAGGCUGUUUCUGUAAGACUGGAAUUCUCCCUCCCAUCUAGAUGUUCUUUCCAGAAGAAGAAGGAACGCGGUGGGUUUGGGAGAAGGAGAGAUUGGACAUGGACUGCGGUGUGUCUCACUUGCACCCAUCAAGGGGCGGGAGGAUGUAGCCACGUGCCACAGAUGAUCCCGCCGUACAGGAUUAUUUACAGGUCUCACCCAAGAGGAUUUCCCAUCCAGACCCAGAGAAAGUUCCAGAAGCUUCUUGAUAUUGCUACCCUCUGUACCCUCAGGAAGACUUAAGAGCCUAGACCUCUUAGCCACACUCAGGCUCUGCAAGUGGCCAGAGUGUGUGCGGGGCGGAUGUCAGUAUAAUUCCUCUGGACAUCCCCUCUCAGCUAAAAUCAGAGGCCCCAGGCCUCUCAUUCACUCAUUUAAUUUUUUUUUCACUUAAGCAUCCUCAGACCUCUGCCAGCAGCCAAAGGUAGUUAUCUGAUAUUCUCCUCUUUUAUCUUUUACACAAACAAUACUUUGCAGGAUUAAAAACCAUCAUUAUAAGAUUAUGACACAAACUUGGGUUUCAGAUAGGCCACUUUACUGGAUUGGAAGGGGAGGGGCAGGACGAGGCAGGUGACGGGCCCGGAGGCUGUAGGUGUGGCCACUGGGGGAGGUGAGGAGUGGGCGGAGGAGGAGGCAUCAACACAAGGGCCAAGCUUCCAGCUCGAGGCCCGGCGCAGGGUGGGGUCACUCCAGAGAUGGGGCAGGAGAAGAGGGCCACAGGCAUGGACCAGCUGAGAAAGAGGGGCUGGGGGCCGUCACAGCGGCAGCAUCCCUCAGGCAGGAGGGACUCCAGGCUGGAGUCUGCCCAGCUUCCAUUCCUCCCUCCAGACCCUCGCUCACUGAUCCCAGGGCUGAGCAACCCCUUCACACUGGCUUCAGAGUUUGCAGGGUGGUGGGGUGCUUCUGAGGCUCCACAGGCCUCAGCAACUGGUUUGUCAGAUAAAGUAUAGGGCACCCACAUAAAUUAGAAUCUCAGAUAAACAACCAAUCAUUUUUUAUAGACAUAUAUCCCAAACACUGCCUGCAUUUCUUGUUUAUCUGAAGACUAAAGUUCACUGGGCAUCCUGGAUUUUUUUUUUUU